UUCGCAAUGGGCGCAAGCCUGCCGGAGCAACCCCGCGUGAGGGAUGAAGGCCUUUGGGCUGUAAACCUCUUUUAUCAAGGAAGAAGAUUUGACGGUACUUGAUGAAUAAGCCCCGGCUAAUUCUGUGCCACCACCCGCGGUAAUACGGGAGUGGCAAGCGUUAUCCGGAAUUAUUGGGGGUAAAAAGUCCGCAGGGGGUUUUUCAAAUGUGUGGUUAAAACGUGGAGCUCAACUCCAUUUAGCCGAUGGAAACUGUAAGACUAGAGUGUGGUAGGGGCAGAGGGAAUUCCCGGUGUAGCGGGGAAAAGCGUAGAUAUAGGGAGGAACACCAGUGGGGAAGGGGCUCUGCUGGGCCAUAACUGACGCUCAGGGACGAAAGAUAGGGGAGAGAAAGGGAUUAGAUACCCCUGUAUUCCUCCCCGUAAACGAUGACCA
rnacentral:rRNA from 1 species